ACAGUGCAGUCUACGCUGUAGGGCCGUCUGCUGAUCUGCGUCCGUACGGCACGGGGCGCGAGAGACGAGAGGA
rnacentral:ncRNA from 1 species